UGCUAUGUGCUUAUUAUCGGUACCCUUGAUGAUUUGGUCCCUGGACCAGGCAGAGCUGACAACACAGGUGUCCCCUGGUGUCCAAGUGGAAGACCGCACAUUUCCGAGGAGCUCAGUCCUCCACUGGCAGCUUGGCUUCUAGGGGAAUGCUCAGAAAGUCUCCACAUGUUGUUUCUUCCUCUAAAGGCUGCUGAUGGCAUCAUGGUGAAUAACCACGGCCUGCUUCAUGCUGUUUUGCUUUCAAGUCUGAGAACUUCAUAUGAGAACCUCAGCCUGAAUCAUGUCGCUCCAGCUUCAUCUCAAAAGUUGAUGUUGAAAAGAUAAAGUCAAAUAUUAUCUUCUUAAACAUCAUUAAUGAAGAAGGACUACAGAAAACACUCAUCUUCAGAUCAUCAAAGACUCUUACUUCAACCAAUCCUCAGCACUUAAUAUCUGAAAAGUUGCUUGGUGAGUCAAAGUUGUAUGAUGAAUAGCUCUAGAGAUAAACCUUAUAAACAAAUAUUUAUGGUGCAGGAAGUAAUGAGUUUUGUAAGAAAAAGUGCACAUUCAAUGUGUGGACAAAGAAUGUCAUCACAGUAAAUGAAGAAAGCUGUGGCCAUCAAGCCAUAAGCCUCUGCAGCCACCCCCAGUGGUAUACCCUGAGGGGAUUCAAAAUGGAGAAAAAUAGGAUACUGACCCUAGAUAGUUAAGAUGCACAUCCAAGGAAUAAUUUCAUUAAGCCCAGACUCUUUAUCUUCCUAUACACAGUAAAGCACUAAAUUUUUUAACUUGAGAUAUCCAUUUUUUCUUUAAUUAGAAGUAAUUUU
rnacentral:lncRNA from 1 species